UGCAAGUCGAGGGGCAGCACAUGAAGUAGCAAUACGGAUGGUGGCGACCGGCGCACGGGUGAGUAACGCGUAUGCAACCUGCCUACAACAGGGGGAUAACCCGUUGAAAGACGGACUAAUACCUCAUAAUACAGGGGUUCCGCAUGGGAAUAUUUGUUAAAGAUUAAUCGGUUGUAGAUGGGCAUGCGUUCCAUUAGCUGGUUGGAGAGGUAACGGCUCACCAAGGCAACGAUGGAUAGGGGAACUGAGAGGUUUAUCCCCCACACUGGCACUGAGACACGGACCAGACUCCUACGGGAGGCAGCAGUGAGGAAUAUUGGUCAAUGGACGCAAGUCUGAACCAGCCACGUCGCGUGAAGGGAGACGGCCCUACGGGUUGUAAACUUCUUUUGUAAGGGAAUAAAGUGAGUCACGAGUGACUUUUUGCAUGUACCUUACGAAUAAGGAUCGGCUAACUCCGUGCCAGCAGCCGCGGUAAUACGGAGGAUCCGAGCGUUAUCCGGAUUUAUUGGAUUUAAAGGGUGCGCAGGCGGGAGAUUAAGUCGGCGGUGAAAUUUUGCAGCUCAACUGUAAAAGUGCCUUCGAAACUGGUAUCCUUGAGUGUGGAUGAAGUAGGCGGAAUUUGUGGUGUAGCGGUGAAAUGCAUAGAUAUCACGAGGAACUCCGAUUG
rnacentral:rRNA from 1 species